rnacentral:lncRNA from 1 species
UUUCACUUCUAGCUUUGGACUAACCAAGUUCAUGUCCCAGUCCAAGACUGCACAAAUCCCACGCAUAAGCUCGUGGCAGCUAUCCCACGUGUAAGCCCGUGGAGGCUAUCCUACGCAUAAGCUCGUAGAGGCUAUCCCACGCGUAAGCCCGUGGAGGCUAUCCCAUGCAUCAGCUCGUGGCAGCUAUCCUACGAAUAAGCUCGUAGAGGCUAUCUCAUGACAAGGUUAGUCCAACCCAUUCUACAUGUCUAGUUUUACAUGUUUAAUCAAAUUCCAAUCACAUCACAUAUUUUCUUAAAUUCUCAAAAAUAUGUCAAUUCUUCCCAAUUUAAUUAUUUCAAUAUUUUCAUAACAAAAUGCACAUCUCAUAUGUGUCAUAU